rnacentral:rRNA from 1 species
GAUCCUGGCUCAGGACGAACGCUGGCGGCAUGCCUAAUACAUGCAAGUAGAACGCUGAAGACUUUAGCUUGCUAAAGUUGGAAGAGUUGCGAACGGGUGAGUAACGCGUAGGUAGCCUGCCUACUAGCGGGGGAUAACUAUUGGAAACGAUAGCUAAUACCGCAUAACAGCAUUUAACACAUGUUAGAUGCUUGAAAGAAGCAAUUGCUUCACUAGUAGAUGGACCUGCGUUGUA